rnacentral:ncRNA from 1 species
CAGAGUAGAGGGAUGUGCGUACAGUGUCCGCGGGACGGGGAGUUGCCUGCGGAACGAAGGGUCAACCCGCGGUGCAUCCCCCGCAUCCCGCUGU